UAACAGUUUUAUAUUUUAAACUCUUCUGCUAACAAAAUUAUACGUAAAAAUUUCAGUUUAUCUUCUUUUUUUAAUAAUAUUAAAAUUAUAAAAUGGAUUACACGUGGGCGGUUACAUUGCUGUUGGGUUGUGUACUAGGCUUUGUAGUUGGUCUCCAUUCGUAAACCGCAAAAAGAAGUGCAUGAAGAGAAAUCCUUUGAAUAACAGCUUUUGGCAAAUAACUUUCCAGACCUAUCAAAUUUACGGAAAAUGGUUUAAGAGGAUUUUCUUGGGAUUUCCCACAAUUGAAUGUGAAUCGUAAUGCUUGAACCUUAACUUAAAUAAAAGACAUUAUUUUAACCACU